UGAUGCUGGAAAGAAGGGCAUUGGAUGGGGGAAAAACCACGGAUUUCUUAUUCCUCUUAAGCUUUCUGAAUGAAUAGCAUUUGGCUAGCUGGUCUUCUAUCCAUAUAAGCGUAAAGAAGGCUGGACCUUCUUGAAGACCUCUGACUGGGAAAGUAUGGAGAUGGCUGAGCUAAAUGGUUCUCACCACUGCUAAACAUAUCCCACGCCAGCCCGCCUCCUGCCACUGUGAGCUCCUUGCCCAGAAAAGGACAGUCUCAGGUGAGGAGGAAUGCCAGCCUCCCUGCUGCGAAAGGGGAGCCGUCCUGUGUGUGGGUAGAACCCAUCCAGCACCCAACUAAAAUAUGAUCUUACAGAUGUGCGUGGUCUAAUAUGGUUGCUAGAUGCUGCUGCUGCUGCUGGUGGUCCAAACACUACACUUUGAGAAUCUCUACUUUUAAGACUUUUCAAACUUGAUCCCAGGUAGACACAUGUAAGAGAAAAAGAGCAUUGAAAACUGGAUUGCCUACAAGCCUGUGGUGGGAAAUCACCUUUCCAGCUUGGCUGCUUUCAUAUUCCUUUGAAUCUUCAGAAAUUCUCCUAUGAAAUCCAAUAUGGCCACUGUUUCCCUGGGCUAGGGGUUGAUGCAAAUCCACCAGCAUUUACUGAGGCCCUACUAUGUGCUCAGGCCUCAGGUAGGUGCUUUACCAAAGGACACUAAAGCAGAAAUGCUAUCCUAUAAGUUAAGAUGUGUUCAUUCCUGUGCUCCCUUUUGCCAUUUCAGCCAGGCUAGUAUUUGACAAAAACCAGAAUAUGGGGAGAAAAUUCUUAUGAAAGUAUGAUGGAUGCCAUUAUGCUGGGUGUCAAAAGAGAACGCGGAAAUGCUACCACAGUGUGGAACUUUCUGCCAAAAUAAUGUCCAUGCCAAUGUUGGAAACACAA